AAGGGAAGAGAGACAGAUGGAGAGAAAACGUGUAAAGAAGAGGGAGAGAAAGUUUGGAAAGACAAGCUGUGAAAUACAAGGGAGACAGAAUGAAGGAAAAAAAAAUCUAAUCGCGACUCAGAUGAAGAUCAGAGCACAUCGUCCGAUUAAUUAAUGCAGAAAUCCUCGUAAUUCCAAAGGGUUUAAAAAAAAAAAAAAAAAGGAGAAGGGAGGGAAAGUGUUGAAGAGAGAGGAGUGAAGGUUUGAAAAGAUGGGAGGAGAGAAGUGAAGAGGACCUAAUGAAGAUUGAAACAAUGAAUUGCAGAAGGACUAAAGGGGAAGGUGCUUAGCAGCUCCCAUGUGCCUUUUUAAACCGCCGGACCUGCAUGGAGGCUGGGAACCAAGAGCAAAGUGACUGUGGAAGGAAACCGGAAUACCCGGAAGAAACCCACGUAGGAAGAAACCCACGCAGACGCGGGGAGAACAUGCAAACUCCACACAGAGAGAGGGGCCCGGGCCAAGGUGGAAUCUAACUGUGAGGCAGCAGUGCUAACCACCACGCCGCUGACGUGUGUGUGUUGACUCAUUUUACCAAAAUUUGCAGUCAAGUCAGAGACUACUGAAACAGACAGUUAGGCCCCUGUCACACAGGCCUAGAGACCAGCGACCUUCUGGCAACCACCAGUCACGAGAGAAAAAUAUGUAUUAACCAACUGGCUGGCAAGUGGUCACUAGAGUUUGCUGGCAUCACUAGGUAAAAAUCGGUUGCAAAGAGGGUGCUGCACCAAAAUCCUCCUUGUGAUUGCUUUGGUCAGCAGAUCGACAGCCACCCACAGUUUUUAAAUAGAAGAUGACGACGUCUCUGCAAGCAAUCAAUAACUACUAGCACAGCUGUAGAAAAACUUGGAAAAAGUGGACAAACCGGAAACUGAGAACAUUCGCCUUUAAAGUAAAAAUUUUUUGCCUUAGCCCUACAGCAAC